rnacentral:rRNA from 1 species
GACGAACGCUGGCGGCGUGCUUAACACAUGCAAGUCGAACGGAAAGGCCCCUUUUGGGGUACUCGCGUGGCGAACGGGUGAGUAACACGUAAGUAACCUGCCCUUGCCUUCCGGAUAACUUCAGGAAACUGGGGCUAAUACCGGCUAGGAAUCCUUGCUGCAUGGUGGGGGUUGGAAAGCUUCGGCGGUUUUGGAUGGACUCGCGGGUUAUCCGCUUUUUGGUGGGGUAGUGGCUUACCAAGGCUUUGACGGGUAGCCGGCCUGGGAGGGCGACCGGCCACAAUGGGACUGAGAUAAGGCCCAGACUCCUAAGGGGGGGAAGAGUGGGGAAUAUUGCACAAUGGGCGGAAGCCUGAUGCAGCAACGCCGCGGGCGGGAUGACGGCCUUCGGGUUGGAAACCGCAUUCAGCAGGGGCGAAGCUUGUGGUGACGGUACCUGCAGAAGAAGCACCGGCUAACUACGUG